rnacentral:tRNA from 2 species
GCGGGCGUAACUCAGUUGGUAGAGUGACAGCUUCCCAAGCUGUAGGUCGUGGGUUCAAAUCCCAUCGCCCGCUCCA